UACUUUUUUUAAAUAAAUGUUUCUUUAUGUGUUUCCCUCAGUUCCUGCCCAGGCUGACUCUAUCAUACAAGCUGUAACUUCUGCCAGUCCUAUCACCCAGCAAACAGUAAGAGAUGAAGUAAAUAUGAAAGAAUGACAAUGAAGUUGGAAAGAAGUGAAUGGUUCCAAGAACUAUGUUGGAGACAGAACUUGCAGGAUUUAAUGCCAUGAAGGAGACAGGGAAGAAGGGACAAUAACGUCCAGGUCUUUGUUUAUGGGAUGGUGGGUAAAACCAAUAGAUUCGUCACACAGAAAAAAGAAUGGUCAGAGGAAGAUGGCCAGUUAAAUUUUGGAUAAAU
rnacentral:lncRNA from 1 species